CUUAAGCUUCAGUUACAUAGGAAUCGUACCCGAAACCGACACAGGUGGUCAGGUCGAGUAGACCAAAGCGCUUGAGAGAACUCUGCUGAAGGAACUAGGCAAAAUGGUACCGUAACUUCGGGAGAAGGUACGCUGCCGACGGUGAUAGGAUUUACUCCUUGAGCUAUUGGCAGCCACAGAAACCAGGCCCCUGCAACUGUUUAUUAAAAACAUAGCACUCUGCAAACACGAAAGUGGACGUAUAGGGUGUGAUGCCUGCCCGGUGCUGGAAGGCUAAUUGAUGGGGUUAGCGUAAGCGAAGCUCUUGAUCGAAGCCCCAGUAAACGGCGGCCGUAACGAUAACGGUCCUAAGGUAGCGAAAUUCCUUGUCGGGUAAGUUCCGACCUGCACGAAUGGCAUAAUGAUGGGGGCGCUGUCUCCAGCAGAGACUCAGUGAAAUCGAAUUCGCCGUGAAGAUGCGGUGUACCCGCGGCUAGACGGAAAGACCCCGUGAACCUUUACUGCAGCUUGACAUUGAACUUUGAUCUUACUUGUGUAGGAUAGGUGGGAGGCUUUGAAACCGAGACGCUAGUUUCGGUGGAGCCAAUCUUGAAAUACCACCCUGGUAAUAUUGAGGUUCUAACUCUGUCCCGUUAUCCGGGACGAGGACCAUGUCUGGUGGGUAGUUUGACUGGGGCGGUCUCCUCCUAAAGAGUAACGGAGGAGUACGAAGGUGCGCUCAGCGUGGUCGGAAAUCACGCGUAGAGUAUAAAGGCAAAAGCGCGCUUAACUGCGAGACCCACAAGUCGAGCAGGUACGAAAGUAGGUCUUAGUGAUCCGGUGGUUCUGUAUGGAAGGGCCAUCGCUCAACGGAUAAAAGGUACUCUGGGGAUAACAGGCUGAUACCGCCCAAGAGUUCAUAUCGACGGCGGUGUUUGGCACCUCGAUGUCGGCUCAUCUCAUCCUGGGGCUGAAGCAGGUCCCAAGGGUAUGGCUGUUCGCCAUUUAAAGAGGUACGCGAGCUGGGUUUAGAACGUCGUGAGACAGUUCGGUCCCUAUCUACCGUGGGCGUUGGAAAUUUGAGAGGAUCUGCUCCUAGUACGAGAGGACCAGAGUGGACGAACCUCUGGUGUACCGGUUGUGACGCCAGUCGCAUCGCCGGGUAGCUAUGUUCGGAAGGGAUAACCGCUGAAAGCAUCUAAGCGGGAAGCCUACCUCAAGAUAAGAUUUCCCUAGGACUUUAUGUCCUCUAAAGAGCCGUUGAAGACUACGACGUUGAUAGGUUGGAUGUGGAAGCAUAGUGAUAUGUGAAGCUGACCAAUACUAAUUGCUCGUGAGGCUUGACU
rnacentral:rRNA from 1 species